UGAAUUAUAUAUAGAUAUUAAAAAAAAAAAAAAAGGAAACCAAACAAGGAAUCAUAGGAAAAUCUUACAAAAAUGCAAGAGGCCCCUGAGUGUUUUGAUCACUAAAGCUGUCCGGAGGUGUCACCAGACGUUUUUCUCAUCAUGCUGGAAAAACCCUGCCCUGGGAUAGGUUUGUCCUGCUCUGCUCUGGGAGGGUUGGUUUGGCCUUGCUGAAGCUGAGGGUGGAGCUGGGAAUGAAGCCUAUUUCUUGGUUGAACCAUGGCUUUGAUCUCAACUACGGAGAGACUAUCACCUCUCACCAUAAUUUGGGAUCUGCCACAAAUAUUUCAACUUUGGGUUUUUUUUCCCCCCUUUCCUUUUCCGUGCUUUAGGUAUUUUCCUUCUCUGCUUGGACUUUCAUAAUUUCAGGAGCUUGACCUCUGAGCAAUGUUGGCAGCUGUGUAUGCCAGCGUUGACAUCCCAACCGUGUACAGCUACGUACAGCUGUACAGCCCACAAACCUCUGCAGUCAGAAGGUCAAACCACCCCAGGAAAAAUAAAAGAACUUUUAAUUUGUCCACUCCCGACACCUUUCAUUUUAAAACCUUAAUGCUUUUAAGAACACGACUGACUCGUUUCUAAGGGCGGCUCAGCCUUUUGCCAGACCUGACACUGUUGCCUCUCAUCCCCAACAAGCAGGUCAGCGGGGACAAAGUCUUGGCUCAAGACACCAGGACUGAUCAGCUUCAUGAGAUGCAUCAAGGCUGGGGAGUUGGCUCUGGUUAAUUCCUCUUUGGGCCAGGAACUGCAUGAAACCAGCAGUCUGAACCUAAUUCUUGCCCUGUCCUGGAUUCUACACAGCUAUGUGUACUUGGUGAAGGGUCAACCUGGCCCCGGACAGCCUCAGAGACUCAAUGCACUGUGAGGAUAAGAGGCUGGCACAGUUUAAACCACGGGAGUUAAGGCACUUGACACGACUUGCAUACACAAUGAUGGACAGAUGGACAAAGCUGGGAUCUCUGAUACUGCUGAGCUGCAGCAUUACCAGAAGAACAAGGAACUGCAUCCAACAAUUCCUGCAUCAGGGUUUCAGCACCUGCUAUCACCACCACCCUGUUUUCUUCACUUGUGUACCAGUAAAGCACUCAACCCUGAUCCAGAAAGGAGUAUCAAAUGGGACAUGAAUGCUGGAAUUAGUAAUUUGUCCAAGAGUGAAACACAGAAGAAACGUCUCUUAAGGAAUAACCUUAAAGAUGGGUAGAUAAUAGACGUUAUUUCACUGUACUUUACCAGAGAACAUUUUGCACCACAAACACAGGAGCUCUCCAGGUAGCUGAGGAAGCCUUUGAUUUUGAUCUUUGUUUCCCAGUCCUUAUGAAGUGGUGAUAGAAAUAGAGAUGAGACGGAGAUGAUAGUUGUUGGCAUUCUGCACUGGCGCCCGAGAAGGGGAAAAAGCAAAUUUUUUGCAUGUUUAACUCUGCUCACUUCACUUGGGAUGCUGCUGGCCUCGUAAGGCUAUUGUCUUGGUACAAUAUGUUUUUGUACUUUUAUGAAUGGGCUAUUUAUGUAGAUUCUAUGGAAGAUCUUCAGUCUGCUGAGAAACAAUGGAGAGAGACGAGGAUCUCUUCCACAGGGUUACAGAUGUGAAACCGGAGGAUCCCAUGAGUAUUUCAGAGAUAAAGUCCAUUGUCUUUAGAUUCACAUAGAAGGAAUGUUGAAGUUUUAAACAACAACAAAACAGCGUCCGACUGUUUGUUGUCUUGAAUAAACUUAUGUGUUGCAUUUUCUUUCUGUAGGUGAGAAAACAGCUUCAGUUUCUUUCUUCCUGAGAUCUAAUCAAAUAACUAAAUCCUUCUGGACUCUUCUUUCAAUGUCAGGCAUGAGGUUGGGUCGCACUGAUCCCAAUGAGACUGUAUCUUUCCCGCAGGAGGACCUUGGUUCUUGCCAUCAUAAGGAAUGAGACUCUAUUUCCAUCUAUCUGUAUAAUGAAAGGUUACCAUGGCUUCUGAGUGGGUACGUUAACAGCAUGAAUGUGUUUGAACGCUCACCAGGAGAUCUGUCAUGAAUUAAAGUAUGGCUGGUAUUCUUCAUAAUUACUCUCAUGUAAAUUUCACAUUUGUAAAGCAGUUGUUUUUCCUUCCACUA